AUGCAGUCGAACGAUGAAAGCCAGCUUGCUGGGUGGAUUAGUGGCGAACGGGUGAGUAACACGUGAGUAACCUGCCCUUAACUCUGGGAUAAGCCUGGGAAACUGGGUCUAAUACCGGAUAGGAGCGUCCACCGCAUGGUGGGUGUUGGAAAGAUUUAUCGGUUUUGGAUGGACUCGCGGCCUAUCAGCUUGUUGGUGAGGUAAUGGCUCACCAAGGCGACGACGGGUAGCCGGCCUGAGAGGGUGACCGGCCACACUGGGACUGAGACACGGCCCAGACUCCUACGGGAGGCAGCAGUGGGGAAUAUUGCACAAUGGGCGCAAGCCUGAUGCAGCGACGCCGCGUGAGGGAUGACGGCCUUCGGGUUGUAAACCUCUUUCAGUAGGGAAGAAGCGAAAGUGACGGUACCUGCAGAAGAAGCACCGGCUAACUACGUGCCAGCAGCCGCGGUAAUACGUAGGGUGCGAGCGUUAUCCGGAAUUAUUGGGCGUAAAGAGCUCGUAGGCGGUUUGUCGCGUCUGUCGUGAAAGUCCGGGGCUUAACCCCGGAUCUGCGGUGGGUACGGGCAGACUAGAGUGCAGUAGGGGAGACUGUAAUUCCUGGUGUAGCGGUGGAAUGCG
rnacentral:rRNA from 1 species